UACGUAGGUGGCAAGCGUUGUUCGGAAUUAUUGGGCGUAAAGGGCGCGUAGGCGGUUUGUUAAGUCGGCUGUGAAAGCCCGGGGCUCAACCCCGGAGGGUCAGCCGAUACUGGCAGACUAGAGUACGGAAGAGGUAGCUGGAAUUCCCGGUGUAGCGGUGAAAUGCGUAGAUAUCUGGAGGAACACCGGUGGCGAAGGCGGCAUCCUGGACCAAUAUUGACGCUGAGGAGCGAAAGCCAGGGGAGCAAACGGG
rnacentral:rRNA from 1 species